rnacentral:rRNA from 1 species
UACGUAGGGUGCAAGCGUUGUCCGGAAUUACUGGGCGUAAAGCGUGCGCAGGCGGUUUGCUAAGAGAGAUGUGAAAUCCCCGGGCUUAACCUGGGAACUGCGUUUCUAACUGGCAGGCUUGAGUGUGGCAGAGGGGGGUGAAAUUCCACGUGUAGCAGUGAAAUGCGUAGAGAUGUGGAGGAACACCGAUGGCGAAGGCAGCCCCCCUGGGCUAACACUGACGCUCAGGCACGAAAGCGUGGGGAGCAAACAGG